rnacentral:tRNA from 1 species
GCCUGGAUGGCUCAGUCGGUUGAGUGUCUGACUUCAGCUCAGGUCAUGAUCUCAUGAUUUGUGGGUUCAAGCCCUGCAUCGGACU